GCAGUGGUGAUUCAGUGGUAGAAUGCCUGCCUUCUAUGCAGGAGACCCAGGUUCAAUUCCCAGACAAUGAG
rnacentral:tRNA from 1 species